rnacentral:rRNA from 1 species
AAUUUUGGACAAUGGGGGAAACCCUGAUCCAGCCAUCCCGCGUGUAUGAUGAAGGCCCUAGGGUUGUAAAGCUCUUUCGGCGGGGACGAUAAUGACGGUACCCGCAGAAGAAGCCCCGGCUAACUUCGUGCCAGCAGCCGCGGUAAUACGAAGGGGGCUAGCGUUGUUCGGAAUCACUGGGCGUAAAGGGCGCGUAGGCGGCCAUUCAAGUCGGGGGUGAAAGCCUGUGGCUCAACCACAGAAUUGCCUUCGAUACUGUUUGGCUUGAGACCGGAAGAGGUGAGUGGAACUGCGAGUGUAGAGGUGAAAUUCGUAGAUAUUCGCAAGAACACCAGUGGCGAAGGCGGCUCACUGGUCCGGUUCUGACGCUGAGGCGCGAAAGCGUGGGGAGCAAACAGG